rnacentral:misc_RNA from 1 species
AACGCACCUUGCGCUCCUUGGUAUUCCGAGGAGCAUGCCUGUUUGAGCGUCGUGAAUCUCUCAACCCACAAAUUGUUUGUUCAGUCUGUGCGGCUUGGAAUUGGAGGCAUUGCUGGCGACGGUCGGCUCCUCUCAAAUAAAUUAGCUGGGCUUAGCUCGGUGGAACGGUCGGUGUGAUAAUUAUCUGCGCCGUCACCUACUACACCGGAUCCCGCUUCUAAUCGUCCGUAUGGACAAUUCACCUUGAAUCUGACCUCAAAUCAGGUAGGACUACCCGCUGAACUUAA